GUCCAGGGGCGGGAUUCGAACCCACAACCUUCCGCUUACCGGGCCAUGUCCACUAGGCUACCCUGGA